CAGUAGCCGCGGUAAUACGUAUGUCGCAAGCGUUAUCCGGAAUUAUUGGGCAUAAAGGGCAUCUAGGCGGCUUUGCAAGUCCGAGGUGAAAACUAUUGGCUCAACCAAUAGCUUGCCUUGGAAACUGCUUUGCUAGAGUAUUGGAGAGGUGGACGGAACUGCACGAGUAGAGGUGAAAUUCGUAGAUAUGUGCAGGAAUGCCGAUGAUGAAGAUAGUUCACUGGACGAUAACUGACGCUCAAGUGCGAAAGCUAGGGGAGCAAACAGGAUUAGAUACCCCUGUAGUCCCUGUCUCUUAUAC
rnacentral:rRNA from 1 species